CGUCACUUCCGGCCGAAGCCAAGAUGGCGGCGGCGCGGCCGCGGGCGCCAGAGCGACGGCGGCGGCUGCGGCUCUGGGCUCGCUGAAGCGUUGGCACGUCGUGCUCUGGCCUCAUGUAAUCAAAGAAGUUUCUUUGUUGUGUGUAUCUUUACAGAACAUAGCAGGAUUUGAAAAUGCAUCAGAUGCCCUUGGAGGCCAUGCAGCUGGAGCUGCAGAUACUUGUGAGCCUCCUGCUGGGGGCGCUGCAUCCAGACUCUGGCCCUGGAGACUGGGUGAACACUGAGUCUGUGGCUGCCACUGAGACUCUGGCUGAGGUACCUGAACAUGUGCUUCGAGGACUUCCAGAGGAAGUGAGACUUUUACCAUCUGCGGUCGACAAGACUCGCAUUGGUGUCUGGGCCACUAAACCAAUUUUAAAAGGGAAAAAGUUUGGGCCAUUUGUUGGUGAUAAGAAGAAGAGAUCCCAGGUUAGGAAUAAUGUGUACAUGUGGGAGGUGUACUACCCAAAUUUGGGGUGGAUGUGCAUUGAUGCCACCGAUCCGGAAAAGGGCAACUGGCUACGCUAUGUGAACUGGGCUUGCUCGGGAGAAGAACAGAAUUUAUUUCCACUGGAAAUCAACAGAGCCAUUUACUAUAAAACCUUAAAGCCAAUCGCGCCUGGCGAGGAGCUCCUGGUCUGGUACAAUGGGGAAGACAACCCCGAGAUAGCAGCUGCGAUUGAGGAAGAGCGAGCCAGCGCCCGGAGCAAGCGGAGCUCCCCGAAGAGCCGCAGAGGGAAGAAGAAAUCACAAGAGAGUAAAAACAAAGGCAUCAGAAGCCAGGCUACACAGCUGAAGGCCAGUGAGCUGGACUCCACCUUUGCAAACAUGAGGGGCUCUGCAGAAGGUCCAAAAGAAGAGGAUGAGAGGCCUUUGGCUUCUGCACCUGAGCAACCAGCCCUUCUGCCAGAAGUGGUAAGCCCGGAUGCAGUUCCACAGGUGGCCAUCCCUCUUCCUGCCUGUGAGUCACAGCCAGAGGCAGAUGGGAAACAGGAAGUCACAGACUGUGAGGUCAACAAUAUGAAGGAAGAGGAAGAGGAGGAGGAGGAGCUGGAAGAGGAAGAAGAGGAGGAGGAAGAGUUGGGAGAAGAUGGGGAGGAAGAAGCAGACAUGAAGAAUGAAAGCUCUGUGAAAGAGCCAGAAAUACGGUGUGAAGAAAAGCCAGAAGAUUUAUUAGAAGAGCCACAGAGCAUGUCGAAUGAAACUUGUGAAGACUCUCCAGACGUUAGCCCUCCUCUCCACAUUCCCAGAACUAGAGAGGAGGCCAACGGUGAUAUGCUUGAAACGUUUAUGUUUCCAUGUCAGCAUUGUGAAAGAAAAUUUGCAACAAAGCAGGGGCUAGAACGUCACAUGCACAUCCACAUUUCUACAAUCAAUCAUGCUUUCAAGUGCAAGUACUGUGGGAAACCGUUUGGGACACAGAUUAACAGGAGGCGGCAUGAAAGGCGCCACGAAACAGGGUUGAAGAGAAGACCCAGCAUGACAUUACAGCCCUCAGAGGAUCCAGAUGAUAGCAAGGGGGAAAAUGUUACUUGUAAAGAUGAGUCAAGUCCACCUCAACUUGGGCAGGACUGUUUGAUAUUGAACUCAGAGAAAACCUCACAGGAAAUACUGAAGUCAUCUUUUGUGGAAGAGAAUGGUGAAGUUAAAGAACUUCAUCCUUGCAAAUACUGCAAAAAGGUAUUUGGAACUCAUACCAAUAUGAGACGACAUCAGCGUAGAGUUCAUGAACGCCACCUGAUUCCCAAAGGUGUCCGGCGAAAAGGAGGUCUCCUAGAAGAGCCACAGCCACCAGCAGAGGCCCCACCCUCCCAGAAUGUCUAUGUACCAAGCACAGAGCCAGAGGAGGAAGGGGAGACGGAUGAUGUGUACAUCAUGGACAUUUCUAGCAACAUCUCUGAAAACCUAAAUUACUAUAUUGAUGGUAAGAUUCAGACCAACAACACCACUAGUAAUUGUGAUGUGAUUGAGAUGGAGUCUAAUUCUGCACACUUGUAUGGCAUAGAUUGUCUGCUCACUCCAGUAACUGUGGAGAUUACUCAAAAUAUAAAGAACACUCAGGUCUCUGUGGCAGAUGAUCUUCUUAAAGAGUCUCCCAGCAGCACAAAUUGUGAGUCUAAGAAACGGAGGACUGCCAGUCCACCUGUGCUCCCCAAAAUUAAAGCGGAGACAGAUUCUGAUUCCACAGCACCGUCAUGUUCCUUAAGUCUGCCUCUGAGCAUUUCAACAACAGAGGUGGGGUCUUUCCAUAAAGAGAAGGGUGUCUAUUUGUCUUCAAAGCUCAAGCAACUUCUUCAGACCCAGGACAAACUGACUCCUCCUGCGGGGAUUUCAGCAGCUGAGAUUCCUAAGUUAGGUCCCGUAUGUGUAUCUGCUCCUGCAUCCAUGUUACCUGUGACUUCUAGUAGGUUCAAGAGACGCACCAGCUCUCCACCCAGUUCUCCACAGCACAGCCCUGCCCUUCGAGACUUUGGGAAACCAAGUGAUGGGAAAGCAACAUGGACAGACACAGUUCUGACUUCCAAGAAACCGAAGUUAGAAAGUCGUAGUGAUUCACCAGCUUGGAGUUUGUCUGGGAGAGAUGAGAGAGAAACUGGAAGCCCUCCUUGCUUUGAAGAAUACAAAAUAUCAAAAGAAUGGGCAGCCAAUUCUACUUUCAGCAGUGUGUGCAACCAGCAGCCGUUGGAUUUAUCCAGUGGGGUCAAACAGAAGUCAGAGGGCACAGGCAAGACUCCAGUCCCAUGGGAAUCUGUAUUGGAUCUCAGUGUGCAUAAAAAGCCUUGUGAUUCUGAAGGCAAGGAAUUCAAAGAGAACCAUUUGUCACAGCCAGCUGCAAAGAAGAAAAAACCAACCACCUGCAUGCUACAAAAGGUUCUUCUCAAUGAGUAUAAUGGUGUUAGCCUACCUACAGAAACCACAGCAGAGGUGACCAGGAGCCCAAGUCCUUGUAAAUCCUCAGACACACAGGCAGAUCCUGAACUUGGUACUGACUCGAGUUGCUCAGCCCCCACCGCUGAGUCUCCACCUGAAGCUGUUGGCCCUUCAUCACCCCCUCUCCAGGCAGCCUCCCUGGCUUCUGGUCAGCUGCCUCCUCUCUUGAUCCCCACAGAACCUUCUUCCCCUCCCCCCUGCCCUCCAGUGUUAACUGUUGCCACUCCACCGCCUCCCCUCCUUCCAACUGUACCUCUCCCUAACCCCUCUUCUGAUGCCUCUCCUCAGCAGUGCCCCUCUCCAUUCUCAAACGCCACUGCUCAGUCUCCUCUGCCGAUUCUCUCCCCAACAGUGUCCCCCUCUCCCUCUCCUAUUCCUCCUGAGGAGCCACUCAUGUCUGCUGCUUCCCCUGGUCCUCCAACACUUUCCUCUUCCUCCUCUUCCUCUUCCUCUUCCUUCUCUUCCUCUUCAUGCUCUUCCACCUCCCCCUCACCACCCCCUCUCUCAGCAGUGUCAUCUGUGGUUUCCUCUGGGGAUAACCUGGAAGCAUCUCUCCCUGCAAUAACAUUCAAACAGGAAGAGUCAGAGAGUGAAGGUCUGAAACCCAAGGAAGAGGCCCCGCCUGCAGGUGGACAGAGUGUUGUCCAAGAAACAUUCAGCAAAAGCUUUGUUUGCAAUGUCUGUGAAUCACCUUUUCUUUCCAUUAAAGACCUAACCAAGCAUUUAUCUGUUCAUGCUGAAGAAUGGCCCUUCAAAUGUGAGUUUUGUGUGCAGCUUUUUAAGGGUAAGACUGAUCUGUCAGAGCAUCGAUUUCUGCUUCAUGGAGUUGGAAAUAUCUUUGUGUGUUCUGUAUGUAAGAAAGAAUUUGCCUUCUUAUGCAAUUUACAGCAGCACCAGCGUGAUCUCCACCCAGAUGAGGUAUGCACACACCACGAGUUUGAAAGUGGGACCCUGAGGCCCCAGAACUUCACAGACCCCAGCAAGGCCCAUGUGGAUCAUAUGCCGAGUUUGCCAGAAGAGCCUUUGGAAACUUCUAGAGAAGAGGAGUUAAAUGAUUCCUCUGAAGAGCUUUACACAACCAUCAAAAUAAUGGCUUCUGGAAUAAAGACGAAAGAUCCAGAUGUUCGACUUGGUCUUAACCAGCAUUACCCGAGCUUUAAACCACCACCGUUUCAGUACCACCAUCGAAACCCUAUGGGGAUUGGGGUGACAGCCACAAACUUCACCACCCACAAUAUUCCGCAGACUUUCACUACUGCCAUUCGCUGUACAAAGUGUGGAAAGGGUGUUGAUAAUAUGCCUGAGCUGCAUAAACAUAUCUUGGCAUGUGCAUCUGCAAGUGACAAGAAGAGGUACACUCCUAAGAAAAACCCAGUGCCCCUGAAACAGACUGUGCAGCCCAAAAAUGGAGUGGUGGUUUUAGACAACUCUGGGAAAAAUGCCUUCAGACGGAUGGGGCAGCCUAAGAGACUGAGCUUCAAUGUUGAACUCAGCAAAAUGUCUCCAAAUAAGCUCAAGUUAAGUGCAUUGAAGAAAAAAAAUCAGCUGGUACAGAAAGCGAUCCUUCAGAAGAACAGAUCUGCGAAGCAGAAGGCAGACCUGAAGGACACUUCCGAGGCAUCUUCACAUAUCUGCCCUUACUGUGACAGGGAGUUCACGUACAUCGGCAGCCUGAAUAAGCACGCUGCUUUCAGCUGUCCUAAAAAGCCCCUUUCUCCUUCCAAAAGAAAAAGUUCCCAUUCAUCUAAGAAAGGUGGCCACUCGUCAUCUUCUAGCAGUGACAGAAAUAGCAGCAGCAAUCCCCGGAGGCGCACUGCAGAUACAGAGAUCAAGAUGCAGAGCAUGCAGGCCCCCUUGGGCAAGACCAGAGCUCGGAGUACGGGCCCUGCCCAAACCUCACUGCCCUCCUCAUCCUUUAGAUCCAGACAGAAUGUCAAAUUUGCAGCUUCAGUCAAAUCCAAAAAAGCAAGCUCUUCAUCCUUGAGGAAUUCUAGUCCCAUAAGAAUGGCUAAAAUUACUCAUGUUGAGGGCAAAAAAUCCAAAGCUGUUGCCAGGAGUCAUUCUACGCAGCUCUCAAGCAAGUCAUCCCGAAGCCUGCAUGUGAAAGUGCAGAAGAGCAAAGCUGUUCUACAAAGCAAGACUGCCCUGGCCAGUAAGAAAAGAACAGACCGCUUCAUAGUAAAAUCUCGAGAGCGGAGCGGGGGCCCAAUCACCCGAAGCCUUCAGCUGGCAGCUGCUGCGGACCUGAGUGAAAGCAGGAGGGAGGACAGCAGUGCCAGGCAUGAGCUGAAGGACUUCAGCUACAGCCUCCGCCUGGCAUCCCGAUGCACCUCAGCAGCAACCCCUUAUAUCACUAGACAAUGCCGAAAGGUCAAGGCUGCAGCAGCGACUCAGUUCCAGGGACCCUUCUUCAAAGAAUAGGCACUUCGUCUGCUCCUUAACAGAGCAGCAUGUGGACAGAGCUGCAGCCACAUGGUCAGACAGAUGGAAAUACAGCAUGUUCAGACAGACAGAGCUGUAACUGCAUGCUCAGAACUUCACACACAAGACUGAGGCACAGAAGCUUAGGUUCCUGUCAGCACCUGAAGUGACCUGGAAUCAGUGAAGCCAAAGGGACCAGCAGUCUGCCCUGCAGAGAGCACUGACCUCUCCCAGUUGUGAGAGUGAGAGAGCGAGCAUGAGAGAGAGCCAGAGAGAAAGCCAGAGAGAGAGAGAGGGAGAAAGAGAGAGCGAGCGAGAGAGAGAGCAUGUGUGCAUGUGUGUAUGUGCUGGUGCAUGUGUGUGGUCUUCAAGCCGAGGUCCCAGCCUCAGGAGCAGGACCUUCACGUCAUCCUCUGGAUGAUCCUUGGACAUGGCCCAGAACCGUGCUCUGUGGUGCAGCCAUCCUGCCCGGGAGGGGCGUCUCCUUCUAUGCAAUUUUUUAAAAGAGUUCCUUGGCCCUGCUUUGUGCUUCUUGAGCUGUCCGUUGGCCAUCGCUGGGACUUUGGUCCGACCCUGAGGGUUGGGGAGAGGCCCUAUCUAAGGAUAACCUUUCAGAGGUCAAGUUCCCCUUCAUGCCUCCCUCCCCCCUGCCCUCACCAACCUUUUCCUCACACUGUCUCUGGGAAUCAAUAGCAAAUAGCAUAUAGAUCCAUCAGGGCUGAGCCUGAACCUUGGCCCGGCACUAGGAAACCCCCCUUCUCUCCCUAAGCGACUGGAGCUGCCAGCUUUCAUUUCCUCCUUUGAAGUUCGAGAGUCCACUGCUCCCAAGGUCUCCACUGGGAACCCUAGAGCCCGUGGGCCUGGGAUGCAGACUCUGUGCCUGUUCUCAGACCUGGUCUCUCAGUUAGAAAAAAGCAGUGUCUAGAGAGACGCCAGGGUGGAGAUGUGACUCUCCUGUGCCCUUCUUUGUCUCCUCUGGUGGGACCUCCUCUACCAUUACCAUCUGACCCUCGCAAGUUAGCUGCAAAGAGAAGCAAAGGAAAAAAAAUAAUAAAAAGGGAAAUAAAAAAUAUAUGGAUGGGUUCAAACAAACAAACAGAAAAAACCCUAGGAGGUUUUGAGCAGGUGAUUCUCAGAUGCUAUAAAAGCACUUGCCAGGGAGGGGCAGGGCUGCCCCCUGCUGUGGUGGACAGCCGGAGUCUGGGAGAAACGUGGACCUUGGUCUCUGAGGUUCUUGGGUUUUGUGCCUUUGGGGCGGAGGAUGCCUGAGACAAUUUUGGUACUGUUUCCUCAGCUCCAUUCUGGUCCCUAUCUGUCAAAGUGGGAGGACAGAACUUGGGAGAGUUGUCACACAAGAGAGGGGCUGUCUUUUUCAGGGCUACUAUGGUUGACAUUGCAACUCUGUAAAUAUGUAUGUAGACACUUUUAAAAGCACGUAUUUAUGGACCUACUGUAAAUGCCCCGUUUUUAAAGUUUUAUAACAUGUGUUAUUUAAUUAAUCAGUUGACUGGCUGCAGUAAGGGGACUGACUGGUCCAGGAAAAAGGGUCCGUGGAGACCCUCACAUGGGCAGGAAAACACCCAUCUUCGUCCAGUGUCACAGUUUUCCGAUUUCCCCACCCAGCCAGACUCUGGCAUGCCCUUUUUUUAUUUCUUCAACUGGAAUUUUUUUUUCCUUCUACACACCCUGCAGUUAAUCCUCAAAAGCAUGGACUCAUGGCUGUUGCUAACCCCACUGACACAGUAUGUCCUACAGCUGGUCACACGGACUGUACCCAACCCCAGCCCCUCCCAGCAGCCAGGGAAACGCACGAACCCGAAGCCUUGGCAAGCUGCUUUCAGCCAAACUUGGAAAAAGUUGCUGGGCUCUUGGGGGAUUCUCUCUCUCUCUCUUUCUCUCUUUCUCUCUUUCUCUCUUUCUCUCUCUCUCUCUCUUUCUUUCUCUCUCUGUCCCUCUCCUUCCCUCCCUCCCUCCCUCCCUCCCUCCCUCCCCCUCUUUGCAUGUGCAAACUGUGCUGGGUCACCCUUCAACACUUCCCAGAUUGUCAGGAAAACAAAGAGAAAGUUUUUGGUGGUGUGGUGUUUCCUGGUCAGUGGAGGUCUUCCUGAGCGGAUCUCCGUCCCACUGAAGAAGAUUCAGUGUCUGCCCUGUGAAGACAGUGAACAAUAAAAGUGCGGAGCGAUUG